AGUUUGAUCCUGGCUCAGAUUGAACGCUGGCGGCAGGCCUAACACAUGCAAGUCGAACGGUAACAGAGAGUAGCUUGCUACUUUGCUGACGAGUGGCGGACGGGUGAGUAAUGUCUGGGGAUCUGCCUGAUGGAGGGGGAUAACUACUGGAAACGGUAGCUAAUACCGCAUAAUGUCGCAAGACCAAAGCGGGGGACUUUCGGGCCUCGCACCAUCAGAUGAACCCAGAUGGGAUUAGCUAGUAGGUAAGGUAAUGGCUUACCUAGGCGGCGAUCCCUAGCUGGUCUGAGAGGAUGACCAGCCACACUGGAACUGAGACACGGUCCAGACUCCUACGGGAGGCAGCAGUGGGGAAUAUUGCACAAUGGGCGCAAGCCUGAUGCAGCCAUGCCGCGUGUAUGAAGAAGGCCUUCGGGUUGUAAAGUACUUUCAGUCAGGAGGAAGGGUGUGAGAUUAAUACUUUCAUGCAUUGACGUUACUGACAGAAGAAGCACCGGCUAACUCCGUGCCAGCAGCCGCGGUAA
rnacentral:rRNA from 1 species